UGCUGACUGGGUGUCCACACUAAGUUUGCCAUCAGUAUGGUGACCUCCCAGGAGCAGGAGACUACCAGGUUGCCUAAGGAGGGUGAACUGCUUCAGGUCAGAAGUGGAGCAGGUCAGAACUUUUGUGCUGUUGGUAGUGAGACUGUACCUGGGCA
ensembl:misc_RNA Metazoa_SRP Metazoan signal recognition particle RNA